rnacentral:rRNA from 1 species
AAAUAGUACCUGAAACCGUUGGUUUACAAACAGUCAAAGAGUCGUCACGCAAGUGGCCUCGAUGGCGUGCCUUUUGAAGAAUGAGCCUGCGAGUGACGGUAUGUGGCAAGGUUAACCAGUGAUGGGGAGCCGAAGCGAAAGCGAGUCUGAAUAGGGCGUUGAGUCGCAUGCUGUCGACCCGAAGCCAAGUGAUCUAUCCAUGGCCAGGUUGAAGCGGGGGUAAGACCCCGUGGAGGACCGAACACACGUCAGUUGAAAAUGGCGGUGAUGAGCUGUGGAUAGGGGUGAAAGGCCAAACAAACUUGGUGAUAGCUGGUUCUCCUCGAAAUGUAUUUAGGUACAGCGUCGUGCGUUCAGUCUCGGAGGUAGAGCACUGGAUGGGCUAGGGGGCCUACAAGCUUACCGAACCCAGCCAAACUCCGAAUGCCGAGACUCCAGAGCACGGCAGUGAGACUACGGGGGAUGAGCUUCGUUAGUCGAAAGGGAAACAGCCCAGACCAUCAGCUAAGGCCCCUAAUUCAGGAC